rnacentral:lncRNA from 1 species
GGCCAGGGAAACCCAGUUUGAGAACUGGCUGGGGAGAGUGAGAAAGAAAGAGUGCUGGGGCGGUCAGAUCACGUUUCACAUCACAUCAGAGCUGUGGAAUUUCCUCUCUUCUAGGGGGAGCCCUGUGAAGAUGAAGUUGGUUUAAGGCACUCAAUGUUCUAUGCGUCCACUGGUCAAGAUCCUUUAGCGAUGUUACAGCACCAAGAGUUCAGCUUGGGAUUCAGUGUUCUCCACUGUCUGGCCCCUGCAUCUCACUGUUCCACAGGAUGACCUUCUGUGCCAGUUGCAGCUGCCUCCCAAUUGGUGCAGAGCUGCUCGAGUGUCCUCUGGAAGCUGUCCAGGAAGCUGAGGCAGAAGCUGUGAUGCCUUUUAUAACCGAGCCUUGGAAGCCACACACCUUUGCUUCCACUACAUUCUAUUGGUUAUGGCAACUACAAAGGUUUGCCCAGGUUCAAGCAGAGGGAAUUGACCCUACCUCUCAAAGGAGGAUGCUAACAUCGCAUUAUAAGAAGAGCAUGGGAAAUGGGAUAUAUCAGUGCUUCCAUCUUUAGAAAAUACAGUCUGCCAUAGGUUAUUUCCAAUAUUUUGCUAUUACCAUAUGUUAGUAAGUAGAUUUUAAAGACUUUCUAUAUGUAUUGCCAAAUCUCCUUUAGAAAGUUGUACUAAUUUAGAUUCCAACCCCUGGUGAUUGAGAAAGUCAAUUUCUCUGUAUCUUUACUAGCACUAAGUUUAUCUUUUAAUUAAAAAUCUCUGCCAAUUUGAUAUGCAAGAAAUGGUAUGUCAUUGUUUUAAGAAAAUUCCUUCUAAGAAAGCAUAAGAGCUAAAUUUGAGUAGCGGUAUCUAUAUUAGUUUGCUAGUUUAGUUGCUAUAUUAGUUUCUGCCAUAAGAAAAUACCACAAACUGGGUCGCUUAAACAACAGAAAUUUAUUGUCUCAUAGUUCUGGAGGCUGCAAGUCUAAGAUCAAAGUAUCACAGGUUUUUUUCUCCUGAGGCCUCUUUCCUUGACUUGCAGACGGCCGCCUUCUCACUGCUGCCUUUCCUCUGCACACGCA